UGGAGAAUUUUGGACAAUGGGCGCAAGCCUGAUCCAGCAAUGCCGCGUGCAGGAUGAAGGCCUUCGGGUUGUAAACUGCUUUUGUACGGAGCGAAAAGGUCUGCCCUAAUACGGUGGGCUCAUGACGGUACCGUAAGAAUAAGCACCGGCUAACUACGUGCCAGCAGCCGCGGUAAUACGUAGGGUGCAAGCGUUAAUCGGAAUUACUGGGCGUAAAGCGUGCGCAGGCGGUUAUGUAAGACAGUUGUGAAAUCCCCGGGCUCAACCUGGGACCUGCAUUUGUGACUGUAUAGCUAGAGUACGGUAGAGGGGGAUGGAAUUCCGCGUGUAGCAGUGAAAUGCGUAGAUAUGCGGAGGAACACCGAUGGCGAAGGCAAUCCCCUGGACCUGUGCUGACGCUCAUGCACGAAAGCGUGGGGAGCAAACA
rnacentral:rRNA from 1 species